rnacentral:rRNA from 1 species
AUUGAACGCUGGCGGCAUGCUUUACACAUGCAAGUCGAACGGCAGCGCGGGGGCAACCCUGGCGGCGAGUGGCGAACGGGUGAGUAAUGUAUCGGAACGUAUCCUGUAAUGGGGGAUAACCAGUCGAAAGAUUGGGUAAUACCGCAUACGCACGAGAGUGGAAAGUAGGGGAUCGCAAGACCUUACGUUAUAGGAGCGGCCGAUAUCUGAUUAGCUAGUUGGUGGGGUAAAGGCCUACCAAGGCGACGAUCAGUAGCUGGUCUGAGAGGACGACCAGCCACACUGGGACUGAGACACGGCCCAGACUCCUACGGGAGGCAGCAGUGGGGAAUUUUGGACAAUGGGCGAAAGCCUGAUCCAGCCAUGCCGCGUGCAGGAAGAAGGCCUUCGGGUUGUAAACUGCUUUAGUCUAGGAAAAAGGGGUGCGAGGUUAAUACCCUCGUGCUUUGAUGGUACUGGAAGAAUAAGCACCGGCUAACUACGUG